rnacentral:SRP_RNA from 1 species
CCGUGCUAUGUGGGGAGUUAGCGAUGCCCUGUUAUCUGCAAUUCGCUUAGCAGAACAGAAAGCUAUUUGAGGCUUAACUUGUGGAAGGCUGCUCCUAGCAAGGAACGUUGAUAUUAAGGUCUUAUGCAACGUACUCCCGCGAACCGUGUCAGAACAGGAAUGUAGCAGCACUAAACGGUAAAGUUCGUGUGAUAUAAGGUUGCUUUAAAGGAGUCACCUACUAGUCUAACGCUUCGGCAGGUUACGUCGAUUUUAGAUGCACG